rnacentral:rRNA from 1 species
GAGCUCGUAGGCGGUUUGUCGCGUCUGCCGUGAAAGUCCGGGGCUCAACUCCGGAUCUGCGGUGGGUACGGGCAGACUAGAGUGAUGUAGGGGAGACUGGAAUUCCUGGUGUAGCGGUGAAAUGCGCAGAUAUCAGGAGGAACACCGAUGGCGAAGGCAGGUCUCUGGGCAUUAACUGACGCUGAGGAGCGAAAGCAUGGGGAGCGAACAGGAUUAGAAACCCUNGUAGUC